AGAGUUUGAUCCUGGCUCAGGAUGAACGCUAGCGGCAGGCUUAACACAUGCAAGUCGAGGGGCAGCGGGGAGGAAGCUUGCUUUCUCCGCCGGCGACCGGCGCACGGGUGAGUAACACGUAUGCAACCUGCCCCUGUCAGGGGGACAACCCGCCGAAAGGCGGGCUAAACCCGCGUACAUGCCACCGGGGCAUCCCGGAGGCAGGAAAGGCUUCGGCCGGACAGGGAUGGGCAUGCGGCGCAUUAGGCAGUAGGCGGGGUAACGGCCCACCUAACCGACGAUGCGUAGGGGUUCUGAGAGGAAGGUCCCCCACACUGGUACUGAGACACGGACCAGACUCCUACGGGAGGCAGCAGUGAGGAAUAUUGGUCAAUGGUCGGGAGACUGAACCAGCCAAGCCGCGUGAGGGAUGAAGGUACAGAGUAUCGUAAACCUCUUUUGUCAGGGAACAAAGGCGGGGACGCGUCCCCGGAUGAGUGUACCUGAAGAAAAAGCAUCGGCUAACUCCGUGCCAGCAGCCGCGGUAAUACGGAGGAUGCGAGCGUUAUCCGGAUUUAUUGGGUUUAAAGGGUGCGCAGGCGGUCUGUUAAGUCAGCGGUCAAAGCCCGGGGCUCAACCCCGGCCCGCCGUUGAAACUGGCAGUCUCGAGUUGGAGAGAAGUAUGCGGAAUGCGCGGUGUAGCGGUGAAAUGCAUAGAUAUCGCGCAGAACUCCGAUUGCGAAGGCAGCAUGCCGGCUCCACACUGACGCUGAGGCACGAAAGCGUGGGUAUCGAACAGGAUUAGAUACCCUGGUAGUCCACGCAGUAAACGAUGAAUGCUGGCUGUCCGGGGGGACUGACCCCUGGGUGGCGAAGCGAAAGCGAUAAGCAUUCCACCUGGGGAGUACGCCGGCAACGGUGAAACUCAAAGGAAUUGACGGGGGCCCGCACAAGCGGAGGAACAUGUGGUUUAAUUCGAUGAUACGCGAGGAACCUUACCCGGGCUCAAACGGGGAGUGACUCAGGCAGAGACGCCUGUUUCCCACGGGACACUCCCCGAGGUGCUGCAUGGUUGUCGUCAGCUCGUGCCGUGAGGUGUCGGCUUAAGUGCCAUAACGAGCGCAACCCCCGCGUGCAGUUGCUAACAGAUAACGCUGAGGACUCUGCACGGACUGCCGGCGCAAGCCGCGAGGAAGGCGGGGAGGACGUCAAAUCAGCACGGCCCUUACGUCCGGGGCGACACACGUGUUACAAUGGGUGGUACAGCGGGAAGCCAGGCGGCGACGCCGAGCGGAACCCGAAAUCCACUCUCAGUUCGGAUCGGAGUCUGCAACCCGACUCCGUGAAGCUGGAUUCGCUAGUAAUCGCGCAUCAGCCAUGGCGCGGUGAAUACGUUCCCGGGCCUUGCACUCACCGCCCGUCAAG
rnacentral:rRNA from 1 species